GAUGAACGCUGGCGGCGUGCCUAAUACAUGCAAGUCGAGCGAACUUUUGGGAGCUUGCUCUCAAAAGUUAGCGGCGGACGGGUGAGUAACACGUGGGCAACCUGCCUAUAAGACUGGGAUAAAUUCGGGAAACCGGAGCUCAUACCGGAUAACAUAUGAUACCACAUUGUCUCAUAUUAAAAGAUGGCUUUUAGCUAUCACUUAUAGAUGGGCCCGCGGCGCAUUAGCUAGUUGGUGAGGUAAUGGCGCACCAAGGCGACGAUGCGUAGCCGACCUCGGCGGGUGAUCGGCCACCCUGGUACUGAGACACGGCCCAGACUCCUACGGGAGGCAGCAGUAGGGAAUCUUCCGCAAUGGACGAAAGUCUGACGGAGCAACGCCGCGUGAGCGAAGAAGGUCUUCGGAUCGUAAAGCUCUGUUGUUAGGGAAGAACAAGUACCGUUCAAAUAGGGCGGUACCUUGACGGUACCUAACCAGAAAGCCACGGCUAACUACGUGCCAGCCGCCGCCGUAA
rnacentral:rRNA from 1 species